GAUGAACGCUGGCGGCAUGCCUAAUACAUGCAAGUCGAGCGAACAGACGAGGAUCUUGCUCCUCUGACGUUAGCGGCGGACGGGUGAGGAACACGUGGAUAACCUACCGAUAAGACUGGGAUAACUUCGGGAAACCUGAGCUAAUACCGGAUCAUAUAUUGAACGGCAUGGUUCAUUAGUGAAAGACGGUUUUGCUGUCACUUAUAGAUGUAUCCGCGCUGGAUUAGCUAGUUGGUAAGGUAACGGCUUACCAAGGCAACGAUGCGUAGCCGACCUGAGAGGGUGAUCGGCCACACUGGAACUGAGACACGGUCCAGACUCCUACGGGAGGCAGCAGUAGGGAAUCUUCCGCAAUGGGCGAAAGCUUGACGGAGCAACGCCGCGUGAGUGAUGAAGGUCUUCGGAUCGUAAAACUCUGUUAUUAGGGAAGAACAAAUGUGUAAGUAACUAUGCACGUCUUGACGGUACCUAAUCAGAAAGCCACGGCUAACUACGUG
rnacentral:rRNA from 1 species